GAUCAAGCAAGUGGUGAUUUAUGUCUCAUUCAGCUCUGUUUUUUUUGUUUCUCAUCUAAUGAUUUAUGCUCAUAUCAUUCUGUUCAAUUACCCUGCGAAGAUCAAUCUAUGAAUUCUGUAGGAAUCACUAGUUGCUGACCCUUGUCUAAGAUGUGAACUAGUUGGCUAUAAUUCCAAGAGAUCAUGACCUACCUGACAACGAGUGCUUCCUAAUGUUUUGCUGUUGUUUCCUUAACAUCUGGAUGCAGACUACUUACGUUGUUGGUUAACACUAGAUCGUCUCUUGUAAAAAAAAAGAACAGGUCCUACUAUCCACUAUCAGGCAAACAAUUUUAUACCUAAUUGUUUACCAUCACGUGUUCCUUUUCCAUUUGGUUUCCCUUGUUUACACACAUCAUCCCAAGAUUGAUUAAGAUAUCACGUAUACAGCAUCAUCGUAUGUCCUGUGACCCAUCGACUCUACAAAGACUCCACAACAAUCAGCCCACCAGAAUGUUCAUUAAGCACAACUGUCAUUGUUUUUGAGUACCAACUGUGAACUACGACAGUCCAGGAAAAAUAAAGCAUGCUAUGCUGAUAUGCAUGUAGUUCUGUUCUCAGAUAAUUGGAGGGAUUUUCGCAUACGUAGAUGUAUGGUUUCAUUAUGACCUCUUUGAUAAAUCUUUCUUUUUUAUUAUGUGUUUAUAUGCAUCCUCUCUGUGAUGGAUUGUGUAGGCGCCCAUAUCCAAAUCUUGUGUACCUAUAUGAUCUGAAAGAUAUAGGUUUCUUUUGAAAACUAGGUUUCUUUUGUACAUAGAUUGUAGUGCUUGUCGAAUAUCUAGUGUUGACCAUGGUGCUUCAGUCAUUUGAAUACAAACCUGUUAUCUGUGAUGAGUUAUAGGUUAGCUUGGUCCUUGUACUGUUAUACUAUCUAGUGUGCUGAUGAUACAGUUGAUGUCGGCCAUGCUGCAAAUCCUCUUGUGGAUCAAUGAUUAAACAAAAGAUAACCGGUAUACUGACAUGAAGUUGCAUUUUAUUUGUUGCUGUAUUGGACUCUGAUACAGAGACAGGAACUGCCAAUCCUCUUUUAUAAAAUUAGUCUGUUUCAUUCUGUGUUUAUACUGUGAUGAAUAGUGUAGGAGCCCAUUUCCGAAUGUUGUGCACCUAUAUGAUCGCAAAGAUAUAGGUUUCUUUUGGUAGGUCUGGGGCAUGUUCUUGGUUAAUACAUUCAAAAUCUGUUUGACACAUCUUUUUGGUUGAAAUUUUGCCCUUAUGAAUCUAUCCAUUAUGUGUGUUGUGGUUACAUUAAUUUGACCCUCAGUGUCUUUAAAUGCAUUCUUAACUGACUUAUGUGGGGGAACUGCAGGAGUCCGGUGAGCCCUGUUGGGAGCAAAAGGUCACUGAUACAAAAAUUGUCUCAUGACCCAAUUGAAGGACAAAUCCAAAACAAUAGGGAGAAAAUUGUAGUUAAUCCUUGCGUCUUGUCCAGCAAAUUUUCCACAAGGAAGAGACCUGCUUAGCCACUUUGGAACUCCAUGAUUUAUUUCUAUAUAAAUGAAAUCUUCUAGGGGGUACUCUGUUCUUUCCAGCUGUUCAUUGUCUUUCUGUGUGAGAGGAUUAUUAACAUUUCUCUUUCUGUGUGUAUUAUUUGAGUGAUUGAUAAUUUCUGGAGAAUAGAGAUUGGUCUUGUCUGCCUUGACAGUGAUUAUGAUUUAUGAGAGUUGAUAAAAUGAAGCAUAGAGAACAAGUAUGCGUAUACCUUUGCCCUAUC